rnacentral:rRNA from 1 species
AUGAACGCUGGCGGCGUGCCUAAUACAUGCAAGUCGAGCGAACAGACGAGGAGCUUGCUCCUCUGAUGUUAGCGGCGGACGGGUGAGUAACACGUGGAUAACCUACCUAUAAGACUGGGAUAACUUCGGGAAACCGGAGCUAAUACCGGAUAACAUGUUGAACCGCAUGGUUCAACAGUGGAAGACGGUCUUGCUGUCACUUAUAGAUGGAUCCGCGCCGCAUUAGCUAGUUGGUAAGGUAACGGCUUACCAAGGCAACGAUGCGUAGCCGACCUGAGAGGGUGAUCGGCCACACUGGAACUGAGGCACGGUCCAGACUCCUACGGGAGGCAGCAGUAGGGAAUCUUCCGCAAUGGGCGAAAGCCUGACGGAGCAACGCCGCGUGAGUGAAGAAGGUCUUCGGAUCGUAAAACUCUGUUAUUAGGGAAGAACAAAUGUGUAAGUAACUAUGCACGUCUUGACGGUACCUAAUCAGAAAGCCACGGCUAACUACGUG